rnacentral:lncRNA from 1 species
AGAUGAUUUGCAUAUACCAUCACCAAACUGCCCCAAACCUACUACUUUAAAAUAUUCCAUUGCUGUUUGGUACAACGUUCAAUAGAAGAACAGAUGCAAAAUUAACAUUUCCUGCAUUGUCAAACUGAUCAAAGAUGCAGCUCAGAAGAGAGAGGAAACGCACGGUCAGGUGACGUUUCCUGUAUGUGUCUAUAAAUAGCCGUGUGAGAAGGUUUACAUGGCGUUCAGCUGAGAUAUCUGUACAAUUUCUGUCGUCUGCUUGGCUCAGGUGUAAGAAAGGGACUGCGCAGAGCAGCUGACAACAAAAUACGUCUGCUCUCGAGUUUGAAAAAUACAUAGCUUGUUCCUGCUAAAUUAACUGGUGCUGAUGAGAGCUUGCCAUUCACUGAGCUGGGGGAAGGCCACCGAAUCCCUGCCGACACAGGAAUAACAUUGAAAUGACCCAUUCUCCUCCCGAUGCUGCUUCUCAGCAGGUGAAAACUCCAAGCGAGAAAUCCCCCCCACCAAAGAGCUGGCUAUGGUGCACAGAGACCUCCCACGCACAACAUAAGAUACCGGCUUAUUUUUUCAUUAGGAGAGAAUGGUCCCUGCUGGUCUGAACUUAACCUUGCAAGUAUUUGGCAGCAGUGCGAUACAUGCGGACCAGUGCCUGGCUGCGGCUCAUGUCAGCCACAGGGACCGAGCAGAGACCCUUUCACGCAUCUCCUGGAUUGUCCAAGUUUGUUGGCAGGGAAGCGGUGCCGGGAGAGCGGGAUACUUGUGCUGGGUGGUCAGGAGGCCUCUGUGGCCAUGGCCGCUGCUGUUGCCCUCGGUUGCGUUAACUGCUGUGCAGAAUCAGAAACAGCUGUUGUGGAGGAAGAAGGAAUGGAGCAUGGGGAAAACUACAGACUCAUCACGGGGGGCAGCUGGGCAUCAAAUGACUGACUUCAACAUGCAAACCUGUUCCUAGCUGGAAAAACUGAGGCAGAUCCUGAGCACAGCUUUAUGCCAGAGCAGGUUGCCCUAUGGGCUGGUGGUGCAGACUGGGACAGCGAGAAGUUCAGCCCCUGGACAAAACCAUGUGGCCCAGCACACUGUCCCAUUCUGCUGACUUCUCCGUAUGAGCAUCGUUCUUUCUGAUUUAUGCUACUUCUUAUCUGCCUGCCUUCCCCUUAUGUGUUUCUUCCUCCGCAGUUCUUAAUA